UUACUUUAUGUUUUGAGAAUGCAUGCAGCACUUUUUCAACAGAUGGGGACAACACAGAAUAAAAUUGGGUUAGGGUGAAGGUAAUUUUUAUUACAACACUACUCUAAUCUGUUAGAGUAGAUUUCGAAGCAGGUUUUUUACUUUUCUUUUUGAAGCAAACCUCAGGCAUGGGGAAAAUAUGUUUUCUGAAGAUGUACCUUGAAGCAGUAGCAUUUAAAAGGCUGUUGAGGCAUUAAAAGGUUUAACUGAACAGCUGUUCAUAAGCACUUUUAAAAAAAACUUUCCUAUUUUCUAUUUGCUGUAAACUGAGUAUUACUGUAUUACAGCUAUAAGAGCAGUUGGUAUCUUGAGUUACUAGAUGCCUGUUUAAGGCUUUUAAAAAUGAGAUGACAUUUAAAAUCUUACUUCCUGUGCAAUAAGAUAACUUUUUUUUGUAUAAGCUUGCUGUUUUGCAAGGUAGUAUAUACAGUAUUUCAAAAAAAGCAUAUGGUUAUAUUAGCUUUUUCUAUUCAUAGAAAUGUUGGCGAUUUCAAGUAAUGUCAUUUGCUACUUUAGCCAGCAGCACAACAGAUUAUCACUGAGUGUCAUUUAACAGAAGAUUUGGUCUAGGCUUUCAAGUUUUCUGUUUAAUUCUGGGAUGAUUUUCUGGGAUGAACAGAAACAGGGCAAAAAGAAAUCCUAUAAACUAGUAGCAAACACCUUCUGUCUCUGUGUGUCUUUAUGUAGCCAGACCCACACUAUUCAUACACACAAAAGGGAGGUAUCCACAGGUGUGAGCGAACUCCAAUGUUUGCAGAAGUAUAACAAAUCCUUAGACACCGCCCCCCACGAGAAGCAAGUCAAUGAAGAUUGAACAUACUGAGGAUGUGUGUGAAAACAUGAGGAAUUAAAUGGACUAUCCUGGAAGAGGAUACUGUAAGUCUAGCUUACUGGAACACUUGUUACAAAUACCUUGGACCUAGAGAAAAUCCUCCUAAUUUUCUUUCCCAUUCCCAAGCAGCAUUUUUCAUGGAGGGUGUAAUGUUGUUCACCUCCUCACUGGGCCCUUGAAAGGAACAAGGCUGGCAUUGGACUGGAUAAGAGUCAAAAGGACACAAAAAUAAAACCAAAGCUAGGAAGGACCUAUAAUUCUGCAGUGACGAUUCUUACAUUCCAGUCUUUCAUAGACACUACUGCCUUCCAUAGAUACCUCUUUCCCCAAGUAUGGAAAACCAUUAACUGUGCCAUGUGUACAUGAACACACUACAUAUGGCCAGCUCCACACAUAACAAAAUAAGUUUCUUCUUUCUGUUUAUUUAUUGAUUUCAUUUUGAAUAAAGCUUGUUCAGUAUUUGUCAUAUAUUGUUGUGUUUAGGAAGGAUUUGUGUAGGAAGAUUGAAGUGUAGUAAGGCUCUGAGUCACUCACAAAUGUUUGAGCAGAAAUUUGGGACAGUAAAUGAAACAGCAUAAUCUCUUUUCUUUCUUUUUAAUUGUUUGGUCCAGAAUGCAAAAGGGUUCAUAUUGCUACUAACACUUAGGAGAUGAGACACUAGCCAAGCUAUUUACCUUAGUCUGGAGUUUAUUACAUUGAAAUAGCUGAAAUUCUUGCAGCUGUGUAAAAAAAGGAAGAAAAUGCCAGAUAAAUGGGGGUAUCAUAUAUUUUGAGUACUUUACCCAAAGCCGCCAGAGACAGAAAGCAACCAAGUUACUUUUCCUCCUGGCAUGAGUAAGUGGAGUACAUAAUCUAGUCCAGCUGCACUGAUUUGCUGUAGUGUUCUGUUACAUAGGAUUUUUGGUUAGUAUUUUUUUGUACUUUUCUAGCUGUAUUACAGGCUCAGUUAGGUGCUAGGUUUAAGAGUAUUUUAAAAUUUAGAAUGUAAUCCUUGAAACAAGUCUUGUCUUGGGGGAUAUAGAACUUAUCUGUAGAUAUUUAAAGUAGAGCUAAAGACAAAGACAGAUUCAACAGUUCCUGAUUCUGCCCAGGAGGCUAGACCAGAACCAGAGUGUUAAUAAUAACCAGAUGCUGGUGAAUAACUUUGCACAAUCAUGUGCCAACAAGCCUCUUACUGGUAUUGUUCUGAAGUGCUAAUGUUGGUGUUCUGCCAGAAGCAGAAUAUGUUUCCAGUGCAGCUAGUGUGACUGUCUUGUACUCUGUUGAUUGUGGGAAUGUGCUCUUCCUCAUGCGGAUUCUAAUUUGAAGGCUUAUACCAUGCUAAUUGAUAAGUUAUCAGGGUUUGCCAAACCGUUAACUGCUAUCAACUAAUUAUGAGUGAGACCCCAGAUAAAAAAAGAUCACUUAGGAGAUGAUGGGAGGCAGGUUUAAUUAUUAAGAUAAUGUCUGUCUAUCUUUCCCAUGGGAGUUUGGGGAGAGAGAUGAGGAUAGUUUCUUACCAGGUUUCACAUUCUUUGCAACUAUCCACUGAUUGAUACUACAUCAGCUACACUGAUACUGAUUAAAAAAGAGGCAGCUUUUUCUUAUUUCCCCUGACCCUCUGCUAUAUACGGCAGAUUUAAAUAAUGAACUACUUGUUUAAUAACACUAACUGUGUGAGGGUCUCACAAGUCACCAACAUUAUCUGAUUUCUUUGGCAUAACCAUGAUCUUAUUAGAAUCAGAAACUUGGUGUAUGGUGUGCUCUUCUAACUCGUUUUGCAAAAUAUGCUCUCUCCCCCCCCCCCCGAGUUGUCCUAUUAAUCUUACUGAACAUGCUUGGGCUUCUGUUACACCUUGACCUGACACAGUAUUAUUUCCUGUACUGUUUUCUUAGACAUUUCUUCCUCCCUCUAGAAAACUAGCCAGGAAUCCCUUCAGUUUUGAUCCAAUGCUUAAAGAGGCACCAAGGUUGGUUUCCAGUUAAGAUAUGCAAAAGUAUGUGUAUAGACAACUCAUCAUAAACAGUAUUGUGAAUUGAAUUGCUUGAAUUCUACUCAAAGUGAUUGAAGACUUGUCUGUUUUACAUGCCAGCUACAUUCCAUUCAACUCAUAACUAAAGCUCAGUAGAUUGACUAGUCAUAGCUGCCUUAAGUAAAACUAAAUGCUCAAGUUAUCUCAUCUGGGCCACCGAGGCUUCUAGAAUUAGCAGAUAAACAUAUAUACAUAUUACUCUUCUCCAUGUGUCUCUAGUGCAGGGGUGGCCAACUCCCAAGAGACUGCAAUCUACUUUCAGAAUAAAAAUCUGGCAGUGAUCUACCCCCGGUUUUUUAGGGGUUCAGCUCAAAGUUGUUGAGCUUUUUUGGGAAGAAAGCACUGUUUUGGGGGGUUAAGGUGCAGGCUUUUUGUGGAGUGGGAGGAAGGCAAGGGGUUAGUUCACACACAAAAACAUCGCUAUGGAUUAAAACAGCCACACAGAGGGAACUCCAUCUUCCCUUCCUGAGUUCAAACAGCAAUGGAGGGCGGGACAAGGAGGCGGGACAGGAGUCAGAUUUACUGACGCAGAGGAAAGGGAGCCAGAGAUCGGCCGCGAUCUACCGAAACAUUGCGGGGAUCUACCAGUAGAUUGUUAUUGACCUGUUGGACAUCCCUGCUCUAGUGCAUGUGUCACCCCCCCCCCCAAAAAAGGCUCAUUGUCUGGCUAUCAUGUCCUAUUUUAUGUUCAUUGCCUAGCUGACUGGCAAACUCUCACUGCAAAACCUUGCCCAAGAAAGAGACAUUUGUAACUAGGCAGUAGUUACUAUAAUCCAAAGAAUGCCCAAUGAAGUUAUAUUCAGAUGUGGCCUUUGCAAAAACGUCCUUGAAGUAGUCAGGACCACCCAUCUGCCAAAAAGCCAUUUAUAAUAUUCUGAACCCAGGCAGACAGUCCCUCAUUACUAGAAAUUAUAAGUUGAGGAGAUCAAAGGUGCUUACAACAGAUAGGUCAGACUCCCCCCCCCCCCCCCAAGUUCCUUGUUCACCUCCUGUUGUGCCAACAAUAGAGACUAAUCAUGCAAUACUAGCUUAGAUGAAACACUGGUUUCUUUUCUGGAUCUACCCAUUUGAAAAUGUGGCAUCUAGUCCAAUGUGAGUGAUUUGUCUUUAAGGUGCUUAGUAAAUAUCUGGCCUCCAAUGGUUCCCUCAACUCCACAUGGCUCAAGCUGAAGUAGGUUCUGACCCAACUGAUAUAUUUCCAGAUGAUGGAGAAAAAGUAUUACUGCUUCACCUUCAUCCCAUCUACAGGCUUAAUACUGAACUCUUAUCUGUGUCUGAAUGACACAUCUUUUGUCACUCUAAUUGUCUCCUAACCUGUUUUAUUGGUUUGAGAUUUCUAAACCAAAGACCCAAGCAAGUGUUACAGUGUGGGAGAUGGCACUUAGGAGCUACUAAGUUAAUUGCUUUGGUCAUCUCUUCAUUUUACAAAGUGACCAAAACAUUGCCAGAAUUGCAAAGCACACCUACCAGAAACACCUCAGUAAAAUCAUCCAACCUACAGAAGUACAUGUCUUUCUGGAAAAAAGUCAAAAUCACCUCUGCAAAGAUAAGUCCCUUUUCAUUAACCAUUUGGGUUCUUUGAGAGUUCUGUCCUAGGCUCAUUGUUGUCCAAUGUUUUUAUAAAUGACUUGGAUAAAAGAAUUGAGGGGAUGCUCAUCAAAUUUGCAGAUGACACCAAACUGGGAGGGGUAGCUAAUUCCACAGAAGACAGAAUCAGAAUUUAAAAUGACCAUAACAGAUUGGAGAACUGGGUGCAAGCUAACAAAAUUAAUUUCAGUAGGGACAAAUGUAAGGAUCUGCCCUUAGGCAGGAAGAACGAGAUGCCCAAAUAUAGCAUGGGAGGACAUCCAGCUUAUUAGCAGGACAUGUGAAAAGAUCUAGGGGUCUUGGUGGACCACAAGCUUAACAUGAGUCAACAGUGUAAUGCAGCAGCAAAAAUGCUAAUGCUAUUCUAGGUUGCAUCAACAGAAGUAUAGUGUCCAGAUCAAAGGAAGUAAUUGUAUCACUAUUCUGCCUUAGUCAGACCACACAUGGAAUACUGGGCACCACAAUUUAAGAAGGAUGUUGACAAGCUGGAAUGUGUGCAGAGGAGGGUAACCAAGAUGAUUAGGGGUCUGGAAACUAAGCCUUAUGUGGAGUGCUUGAAGGAGCUGGGUAUGUUUCGCCUGGAAAAUAGGAGACUGAGAGGAGAUAUGAUAGCCAUCUUCAAAUAUCUUAAGGGCUGUCACAUGGAGGAGGGAGCAUGCUUGUUUUCACCUGCUCUGGAAGGUAGGACUCUAACCAAUGGCUUCAGGUUGAUUUCGACUAAAGAUUC